AGUGAACGCUGGCGGUAGGCCUAACACAUGCAAGUCGAACGAGUGUCGGACGGGUGAGGAAUACAUCGGAAUCUACUCUGUCGAGGUGGAUAACGUAGGGAAACUUACGCUAAUACCGCAUACGCUUGAAUGAGCCGAUGUCGGAUUAGCUAGUUGGCGGGGGAAAGGCCCACCACGGAGCAGAUCCGUAGCGGUUCUGAGAGGAUUAUAAGCCACACUGGAACUGAGACACGGCCCAGACUCCUACGGGAGGCAGCAGUGGGGAAUAUGGGACAUUGGGCGCAAGCCUGAUCCAGCCAUACCGCGUGGGUGAAGAAGGCCUUCGGGUUGUAAAGCCCUUUUGUUGGGAAAGCGGUACCCAAAGAAUAAGCACCGGCUAACUUCGUGCCAGCAGCCGCGGUAAUAC
rnacentral:rRNA from 1 species